rnacentral:rRNA from 1 species
GAUGAACGCUAGCGGCAGGCCUAACACAUGCAAGUCGAGGGGUAGAGGUUGCUUGCAACCUUGAGACCGGCGCACGGGUGCGUAACGCGUAUGCAAUCUGCCUUGUACUGAGGGAUAGCCCAGAGAAAUUUGGAUAAUACCUCAUAGUAUCUUUUCCCGGCAUCGGGAGAUUAUUAAAGUUCCAACGGUACAAGAUGAGCAUGCGUCCCAUUAGCUAGUUGGUAUGGUAACGGCAUACCAAGGCAAUGAUGGGGAGGGGUCCUGAGAGGGAGAUACCCCACACGGGUACUGAGACACGGACCAGACUCCUACGGGAGGCAGCAGUGAGGAAUAUUGGUCAAUGGGCGCAAGCCUGAACCAGCCAUGCCGCGUGCAGGAUGAAGCAUCUAUGGUGUGUAAACUGCUUGUAUACGGGAAGAAACACCGGUUCGUGAACCGGCUUGACGGUACCGUAAGAAUAAGGAUCGGCUAACUCCGUGCCAGCCGCCGCGGUAA